GACGAACGCUGGCGGCGUGCUUAACACAUGCAAGUCGAACGGAAAGGCCCUUCCGGGGUACUCGAGUGGCGAACGGGUGAGUAACACGUGGGUAACCUGCCCAUCAGAGGGGGAUAACACUUGGAAACAGGUGCUAAUACCGCAUAAUUCCUUUUACCGCAUGGUAAAAGGCUGAAAGGCGCUUCUGGUGUCACUGAUGGAUGGACCCGCGGUGCAUUAGCUAGUCGGUGGGGUAACGGCCUACCGAGGCGAUGAUGCAUAGCCGACCUGAGAGGGUGAUCGGCCACAUUGGGACUGAGACACGGCCCAAACUCCUACGGGAGGCAGCAGUAGGGAAUCUUCGGCAAUGGACGAAAGUCUGACCGAGCAACGCCGCGUGAGUGAAGAAGGUUUUCGGAUCGUAAAACUCUGUUGUUAGAGAAGAACAGGAGAAGUAGUAACUGGCUUCUUUUUGACGGUAUCUAACCAGAAAGCCACGGCUAACUACGUGCCAGCAGCCGCCGUAACAC
rnacentral:rRNA from 1 species